AACAUAAAUGACGGGAGCUUGUGUAACAGGCUGAGAGUAAGCUAAAAGCUUAGACCGAACCGGAUCUGGAUAAUACCAGCGUCGGGAAGAUUUAUAAAUUUCAAU
rfam:Campylobacter jejuni subsp. jejuni NCTC 11168 complete genome.